AGAAGCAACAUACUUUUUCUAUUUCUCUGUGGGUUAUUUAAUUCACAAAUAUGACAACUUUUCAGUCUUGCAUAUAUGGUAUAACAACGGUUGCUGCUGCAGGUUUCAGAUGGUGACCACAUUGACAGAUUAAUAUCUUGCCUGCAUAUGGCUCUUCCAUUUUUUACGAGGGGUGCAUCAAGUAAUAGGUUUCUCAACUAUUUGAACAAGAAUAUUGUACCUGUUUUUGAUAAGGUAAUUAGUACUUUCCACUAAUUAUUUUAUUUGGAGAUUAAAAUAAAUAGUAGAGUUUGUAAUUGUCC